rnacentral:ncRNA from 15 species
UCAAACUACUAGGGGUGCCCGGAUUUGGCGGGCUGAGAGAAAAACCGGCGUUUUUCAACCCUUUGGACCUGAUCCGGAUCAUACCGGCGUAGGAAAGUAGGAAUUUGUAAAA